rnacentral:lncRNA from 1 species
GAGGACGCUCUCCGAGAAGACACAGUUCCGAAAAACCGGCUUCCACAGUGAACGAUGAGGAGAUCCGCGGAGCCCAUCUCUUCUUCUUCUCUCGUGCCUCCUUCCGUCCGCCCUCGCAGGUGCCCCCAGGUCCUCUUUUCUCUCUCUCUAUCGCCCUUCCUUCUCUUCGUUCCAUGAGAACCCUUAUUUAGCCUCUCUUCUAUCCUUAACAAGGACUCUUUAUGGAGUUCCCUGGUGACAGGGUGCACGAUUGCAGGUCGCGUCGCGUCCCCAAUUUGUUUCAUACGUUUUCCUUAUUAAUUGCUUUCCGUCAAUUCUUGAUGAGAUCGAGACCCAAGCUGCAUAUAUUGAUGCAUAACAUUAAAUUACUGAAAAAGACAGACCCUUGUCCAUAAACUUGCUGUUGUUUUGCUAAAUCCACAAUUCCUCAUACACCUAUUCUUGUUAAGGGCUAUAUUCUGCUGUCAUUGCAUGCUUUUCUAUGUUCUUUUACAUUAUCCACCUGCAGUAGCCAAAAUCUCUCUCUCUCUCUUCUUUUUCCCUGGGCCUUUCAACAUAGAUUCGAGCAACUCAGAUCUUCAUUGGCCCUGUCUACAACAUAUCAAUUUCAAUAUCCCUGUCCCUAACUCUAUUCUUCCUAAUUUCACCGCAUGAUCCAACUUUCAAUGUUUUUCCUUGGAUCCUUUUAGUUUCUUAACAUUCAAAUUAUUCAAUAUUACAUGAUUUAUUGUUGCUGUAUAAUUUUUCAUUAAGUCACCUAGGAAUGUGCCCAUUUUGUUUCAAACCUGAAGCACCUCUUUGCUUCAUCUGUCCAGGUCUAUUCUUAGAUAUGUCUUUAUCUAUGAGUUAAUACUCCAUUCUUUAUUUUGCAUAUCCAAACAGCAUUUUCUAUGAAAUCAUUCUUCUAUAUGUAAAUUGUUGGUGAUGAACAAACUUACGUAUGUUAUACCUGUCAACUUCCACCAACCCAUACCCAUAAAACAUGUACAGCUUUCAAGAGCUUAUAUCAUAAAGGCAAAAUCAGUACUGUAGCCAUGCUAAUGCUUCUUUUAAGAUUGCUUAGGAUAUUAGUACUUACUUAGUCAGAUUACUAUGCUAGUUAAUAUUGCUAAAGAAAGGAUGGAAAGAUGAAGCGAAUUGUAGAGAGGUAACCUUUUUAUGGAAGAAUUUGGAUAGAAAACUUAAUCAAGAGGGCGAUGAUGCGAAUUCUAGAGAGGUAACCUUUUUAUGGAAGAAUUUGGAUAGAAAAUUUAAUCAAGAGGGUGCCUAUCACAACCCGAGCCCAUCACUUGGGUCAGCCACAUGAUACGUCCGCAUGCUUAGAGUGGUGCCCUGAAGAUCAUGCAAGGUCUGCAAGAUGAACAAAAUUCCAAAAUAGCAGAAAUUUAAAUCAAAUCUGUAAUAGUUAUAAUAAUCCAACUAAAUAAAUCCACCAUUAUCAAAUAGUCAAACUUGUUUAACUACAAGGUUUCAAUUGUUAAUCUGGUAUCGGAAAUAUCAGAAAUAAACUAACGACUCCGUCACUCGACCUCCAUGCCCAACCUAUCCAAGACUAAGCAUGUUGUGGCUCUGACAAAAAUGCUACAAAGAGGCAUGAACUUCACAACCCAGCAAGAAUCUCCGCACAAUCCACACCAAUAUGAAUAAUGUAAAUUAAUGAUAAAUAUUAACAAAUAAAUAGUAUCAGAGUGAAAACAAAAAUCAUAAUAUCUCAUACCAAAUAUCCAGUAUAGGCCAAACAAAACGACAUAAAUUUACACCAUCUAUUAUCAAAUAUCUAUCUUAUUUAAAAGAGAUAUAAUACAAAUAUCAUCAAGUAAAAUAUUUUAUUCAGCAAUAGUUUCAUGUGUAUUAUCAUCCAUCUUUCAUUAUCACAGCUCCAAAUUUGGUGAUAAUUAACUUCUAAUUAUGAACAUUCACCGAAUUAUGACCAGUAAAAUAUAAUUUUUACGCGUAAGCCUGUAGCGGCUACCCAUGCAUAAGCCCGUGGAGGCACCCCACGCAUAAGCUCAUUGAGGUUUUCCAUAUAUAAGCUCGUGGAGACUAUCCACGCAUAAGCUCGUAGAGGCUAUUCUGUACAUAAGCCCAUGGAGGCUAUCCCAUGCGUAAGCUUAUGGAGACUAUCCAAAUAUCUUUUUCUCAUCCAUCUGAUUAAUCAUUUUUUAUUCUUGCCAAAUAAAAUAUAAUUCCCUUUUUAUUUUAUAUUUCUUGCCAAAUUUCAAAUUAAUCAGUAUCAUAUUGCAUGUAAUCAAAAUAAUCGAUAUCUAAUAUAUAUAUAUACACAAGAUAAAAGAAUACACGAUACAAUCAAAACGUAUAUAUUCAUACCGACAAUUAUGCAAUGAAUGAUAUCAUCUCAUGCAAAACUGAAGAAAUCAUCGAUACACGAUACAUAAAUAAAUAUAGUUAUAGAUACAAAUGAUUGUGUACAAGGAUUCUUAUCUUUACUAGUGACAAGCUCAAACACAGUGUGUACUGACCCACACCUCGAUUUAAGAACUAGGGUGUAGAGUAUCCUGCUCAACAUCUUCUUGUCCAGAUCGUCUCGGGUUCACCACCAAGCGAAAAUCAUAAAGUGAAAAUUGACAGUCUAGAACCCUCUACUGGGGUCCAU